AGCACUUUCGGGUAUGUAUAACUUAGUGCACCACAGAAAUUAAGUGUGAGUUAAUUUAUUUUAAUUCAAAACUAAAAAUGGGGCGACGGGAGGCCGACCCCAGCGGCCAGCUGCUGCGACGCUGUGCGUGCAGAGUUGCCACCCAGUUGAAAACUGUUCUGCGACAGCUGUUUUGCUGCAGCUGCAGUUCAAAAACCCGUUUGUUGUAUUUCAUUUCAUUUAUUUUUCUUUUAAACAUAUCCGCUUUACAUGGAAUAAAACUGAUCGGUGAUUCAAUCAACUGAAGCUAAAUUUCCACACCUUUACCUGAUCCUAAAUGCCGAUACGUUUUUGAUUAUAUCGCUAUCGAUUUUAAACAAAGUCGCGCCACGUUCGUCCCCUUCUGCACAUAAAAAAAACUUGCUUUUUCCCGACGUUGUCGUCGGCAGCCGCCCUCUUUGGAGUGUGGAGGGCAAUGCUUUUAGCAAACACAGCACGGCAUGGAGCACAGCACAGCACAAAACUAAAGUCUUAUUUGCUUUCUCGUUCGUCGUCGUCGUCUGCGUUGUCGUGCGGCUGCGAGUCUGCUUUCUGGCUGCCCCUCUGCUUCUGCCCUGAGUAACAUGUUUAUGUAUCUAUUCGUCAGCAGCAGCGUACAAAUAUAUUUUGUUGCCAUGCAAUUUGCAGAUUUAGCCAAGCAAAAAGAAUGCGAAUGAGCGAGCACAGGCAAAGGCAUAAUCAACGACCGAUAUUCAACACGGUCUGGCAAAACAGUAUGGCAACAUUGCUAAUCCCCCCCACACGGAGAGCCACAAACUUAGGCCCGCUUCUCGGGCUAUGUAUUUGGCUAUCAAGAAAAGCUUUUAUAUAACCUGAAAAACAAGCACAGCACGCUGCGCUGGCACUUUUUGUGCGCCAUUACAAUAAACGAAACGAAACGUAAGGAAAAAUACAUGACGAACCAAGUGCGGUGAAGGUGGGGAAUGGGCAACAACAAAAAACUCACCACAGCGGCAGCAGCAACACAAAUGAAAA